rnacentral:rRNA from 1 species
UGGGGAAUAUUGGACAAUGGUGGGAACACUGAUCCAGCAAUGCCGCGUGAAUGAAGAAGGCCUUAGGGUUGUAAAGUUCUUUUACUGAAGAAGAUGAUGACGGUAAUCAGGGAAUAAGUCCCGGCAAACUUCGUGCCAGCAGCCGCGGUAAUACGAAGGGGACUAGCGUUGUUCGGAAUCACUGGGCGUAAAGAGCGAGUAGGUGGUAGAGUAAGUCAGAUGUGAAAUGCUUAAUCUUAAGUUAAGAAUGGCAUUUGAAACUGCAUUACUAGAGUACAGGAGGGGAUAGUGGAAUUCCAAGUGUAGAGGUGAAAUUCGUAGAUAUUUGGAGGAACACCGGAAGCGAAGGCGUCUAUCUGGCCUGUAACUGACACUGAGAAGCGAGAGCAUGGGUAGCAAA